AAAUCUAAAUUCAAAUUUGAUUUUGUAAAUAACUUAUUUUUUAGUUAAAUGAUCCAUUUAUACUUUUAUGUAACGCUUGUGUGUACGUGCGCGCGCUAGACGCAUUAUAGUUUUUUUUUUUUUUUUGACGCAUUAUAGUUUUAGAUGAAAAAAUUGAAGUAUAUUAAAAUUUGAAAAUGAUUUAACUGAUAUUUUGGAUUUUAAAAAGAGCAAGAGACCAUUCAUCAAGCAAAAUACGAGACUAUUUCAAUAUUAUAAAAUAAAAUUUUAGUUAUGAAUAAAAUUUUGUGUAAUUGUGCCUAAG
rnacentral:lncRNA from 1 species